rnacentral:lncRNA from 1 species
GUAAGAGCACCCGACUGCUCUUCCGAAGGUCCAGAGUUCAAAUCCCAGCAACCACAUGGUGGCUCACAAACCAUCCGUAGCGAGAUCUGACUCCCUCUUCUGGAGUGUCUGAAGACAGCUACAAUGUACUUCCAUAUAAUAAAUAAAUAAAUCUUAAAAAAAAAAAAAAAAAAAAAAAAAAACACAAGAGAAGUUUGCAGUGUCAUCCACCCUCUUAGUGGUGCUCUAUCUGAAAGCUUGUUACAUUUCAUUAUGAAUGGUUCUUUAAGUAUCAGGGUUUUUGUGCUUUUAUUUCAUGAUCUUAAAUUUGCAUGCAUUUUAAGAUACUAUUUUUGUUAACUGUUUUGAGACAAGAGUUCUGUAGCCCAGAAUGACCUUGACCUUGAAGCAUGGCAAUCCUCCUGCCUCAGCCUCCCAAGCUGGAAUUACAAGCAUGCACCGCCACACCUGAUAUAACUUGUUAAAAGUACUUCUGGUGUUGCCAGGCAUCUUAGAAACUCCUUGUUAAGGAGAAGGAAUUAACUUUUUAAUUUAUUAUUAGUGUGUAUGUGCGUGUGCACAGGCCAAGGCCAGAGGACAACGUUUGGAAUCUUUCCACUGUGGGUUCCAGGUCAUCAGUCUGGUGUGAUGACCUGCCGAUCGACUUACCAGCCCUCACAUUUAUUUUAACUGGGUUGUAAAAGAUGUGUAGGUAAUGCUCUGCCAUACCUCUGGAGCCUUCUUCUGCAAGGAAGCAGGGUGAUUAGGGAAAAGAGUAUUGUUUGAAACAAAAACCAAAGCUGAGGUAGGCUGGAGAAGCGUCUUGUUGGAAGAAGCUUCUACAAGCCCCACACUUAGGGCUUCUAGUCAGUUGGAAAGACAGAAUGUCUUCAAGCUUCAAGACAGCCCAAGAACGGGCUGGCAAGAUGGCCCCAUGGGUAGAGGUGCCCACCAGCAAGCCUGACAACCUGAGUGAGUUCCAGGAGAACUGACUCAGUCACAUGUGACUUCUGUACUCAGUGUGAUGGCACGCACAACACGCCCACAUAGGCCAUAAAUAAUAAGGAAAUGUUCAAAAAGAAAGAGAAGGCAAGGUUAUUUUAAAUAGACAUUUGCCUAUGUUUACAACUCGUAAAGUAGACUGACGGUGGUAACACGUGCCUUUAAUUGCAGCACAUGGGAGGCAGAGGGAGGUGGAUCACUGAAUUCAAGGCCAGCCUUGAACAUAGAGAGUUCAAGACAGCAAGAGCUGUUACACAGAAACCCUGUCUCCAAAAAGAAAAGAAAAG